rfam:Lactobacillus fuchuensis DSM 14340 = JCM 11249 strain DSM 14340 NODE_114, whole genome shotgun sequence.
GGGGGCGUUACGGAUUCGACAUGUGUAGGUGAGCGUGAGUCGCACUUCGUAGGUUACGUCUACGUAAAAACGUUACAGUUAAUUAUAACUGCAAACAAUAACAAUUCUUACGCUGUAGCUGCCUAAACACCAGCAUAGCGUGAUCCGCCUGACUUUACCUAAGGGUUAGAUACGGGUCUCAAAUUAAUUAGGUUACGUUAAACAUUGCCGCUUGAGGUGUUUAAAAGAGAUUUGCAAGCUAGCUGGAUCAUACUAGCCCUGUCAAAUGGCGUUUUGAUUCAGCGAAAUCCCAAAUGAUUUGGCUAUGAGUGUAGAAGCUGGCGUGGCAAUGCGCAUGGACGCGGGUUCAACCCCCGCCGCCUCCAUAA